ensembl:lncRNA
CGAAGGAAGGAGGUGCUCCAGAUGCAGAGAAGUUCCCUGCAGCCCAGAAGAGGCCCAUGGUGGAGUAAACUAUCACCCUGCAGUCCAUGGGGCACCACACAGAGCAGAUCUCUACACGCAGCCAUGGAGGAAUGCACAGUGGAGCAGGAGGUCUGAUGGAGCUGCCACAUGUGGAAACCAGUAUGGAAUAAUUUGCUUCUCAUGGAUGGGCCUCAUCAUAUGAACCCCUGUUGGAGCAGUGUUUGAAGAGCUGCAGCCUGUGGGAGGCUGACAUGGUAUCCAUUUGGGACAGAUGGCACGCCAUGGGAGGGAACUCACACUGUGGCAGGGGAAGACACCAUUCAUAAAGAAUCAGCAAAGAUGAGGCAUUAUAAACUGAUAAUGAUGACAAUCUUCAUUUCCAAUUCCUCUGCACUGCCAAAGGGAGGAGGUAUAAAAGAAUAAAUGAUGGUCGUUGCCGCUGUUUUUAAUUAUUUUGGGGUCCCCUGUUUCUCGUCCUGGAGGCGCAGAUUUUGUGAAAUCCCUCCGCUCCACUAGUCACGGAACCAGGCUGGACCAGACCUUAAACCGCUGACAAAUUUCUAGUAAGAGAGAGUUCUAGUUCUUCCAUUCCAGGGACGUAAAAAAAUACAGAGAAGAUCUGAAAAAGGAUCAGUGUCGAUUGGAGGACUGGGAAAGUAUGACCCUGGAAAGAAAAAGUGAUAACCAUUCAAACUUAUGUGUAAAGACAGGGAAAGUUCAAAGAGAUAAAGAAAGAAAAUUUGCACCUGAGUUUCAGAAUAAUUAUAUUUCUGCAAGCUUUAUGAUUAGCUUUUUCUUGGUACUGCAAAAAAAAAAAAAAAAAGAGAGAGAAAAAUAAGAAAAGAAAAAAAAAGAAAAGAAAAGAAAAGAAAAGAAAAGAAAAGAAAAGAAGAGAAGAGAAGAGAAGAGAAGAGAAGAGAAGAGAAGAGAAGAGAAGAGAAGAGAAGAUAAAAGUCAGCUUGGACUACUAUAUGAUUUGACAGUCAUAGGAGGAGAUUAGAGUUAAAGAAGAGCUAAAGGUUAAUUUCGAAUGUGUACUCCUUUCAUUCUAAGUCAACAACAACAACAAAAUCUAUUUGAAAGGGCUAUUAAGAGGUCAUGGAGGCAAUAUUCUGCUGAAAGAGAAUUAACAGCAGUGGAACCAUAAAGCUGCUGCUCCUCCAGAGGAAGACAAGACUUUGAAAAUCACCUUGAAACUCAAUAAUAAAGAAAGGAGAGUAGAUAUCAAGAAGCUACAGUAUUCUGAGAAAUAAAAAGUGAUACUUUGUCCUUUGGUGAUGGUGGUAUGGCAGACAAGUGAAUGACAUUUUCUUUACCAUGGGCUACUAGAGACAGAAGAAAGGAUCUCUGCCCACCACUCUUCUGAGAAGCCACCCAAAUUAACUUAAUUCUGGUCAUUCAUGGUCAUUCAAGAGAAUAACUCCUAUCUCAUCUUAUCCCUCUGUGCUGCUUAAUAACAAAGGAUUAUGGAAUAAAUCCUGGAAUUCUGGCAUUUAACCCAAAAGACAUAAUAUGCUUAUUAUCUUACAGAAAGAUUUUUUUGUUUUUGUUUUUGUUUUGAGAACUGGCUGGAGUGGUCCAAAAUCAAAAAAUGAGGGUAACAGGUAGAACUGAGUAUCAGUGAUUCAAUACUCAGUCUACUUCAUCCUUUUUAUUUAAGAGUAUGUAUGCAUUCAGUAUUGUUCCUGAAGCUAUGAGAGAAAGAAAAAAAAUUAAUGAAAACUGUCUUCAUGAUUCAGUUUUUGACUUUUCCUGUAAAAUUUAUCUUCUCCAUCUACAUUUCAAAAAGGGGUUUAGAUAUGAUGACACACAGAGCUACAGUAUUUAAAUCUAGGGGCUGAUUUUCAAGAGCAGUAUUCACUAUGCAGUGUUUCUAACGUCUGAGAUAAUUAUAUUUUUUGGAAGAAGAGCACACAUGAAUGACACAAAAUCCAUCAUGUUCACAGAUGUCAAUUAGUCAAUAGAAAAAAAGACAAAAUGAAAAUGUAACUUCCACUUUUUCAGGUAUAUGGAAUUUUUUAACCCUUGUAAGAGGCAGAAUCCUUUUUGAUGUUAGUAAGAAUCCAGUUUCAUGAAUAUUUAUCUUAAGAAAAAUAUAAAACAAAGCAUUUGGGGUGUGGAAAGCUUUCAAAGUGUGAUCUUAUUCAUAAGACACAUAUCUAUGUUGAUUUUCAGAGAUUCUGAGCUGCUUCUAAUGAGUUUAAUGAUAUCUGUUGCUUCUGCAAUGAACAUGGGAGGUGUGAGUACAUACCUGUCUGUGGGUGAAGGAGAAAAGGGUUAAGUCAUCAUUCAUUCCUUGGAAUAAAGGAAGUCAUUUUAAAAUUUUCUGACAAGCCAAAAGUUGAAUGAUAGGCCUGAACCUGCCUAUUGAAAUGAAGAGUUCAACAGAAAUGCAGUCUUUCAUCAUCAUGAAAGAAAAAGAGGUUAUGAAAAAUUAUUUAUUGCUGCUAUGUUAUAGAAUCAUAGAUUCAUAGAAUAGCUUGGGUUGGAAGGGACCUUAAAGAGUAUUUAGUUGCAAGCACCCUGCUGUGGGCAGGUUUCCCAACAGGUGGUCCACAAUCCCAUCCAGCCUGACUUUGAACACCUCCAGGGAUGGGGCAUCCACAGCCUCUCUGGACAGUCUGUUCCAGUGGCUCACCGCCCUCUGAGUAAAAAAAAUCUCUUCCUAACAUCCAAUCAAAAUUUUCCCUCUUUAGUUUAAAACCAUUCCUCUUUGUCCUACCACUAUCUGACCAUGCAAAAAGUCAGCCAUGUUUCUUUGAUUCUGGGAAUUUAUGCAUUAUAUGUUAUAUGACAUUAAUUAUCAGUUUUGGAAGCCUGUCUUAAUGUUUGAAACAAAAAGAAAAUCUACUCACCUAGCCUCUGUAUUUCCCAAACUAAGGAAUACAUUAGAAAAGACACAAGAUUCUGUGAAAAACAGGAUGCAGAUGGGCAUCCCUGCUUCCUCUUAUCUGCUGGCAAGGCCCGGAAGAUGAUAACAAAGGAAUUUCUGCUGAGAUCCCAGAGGCAGUAGCUGCCACUCCAAGGAGAGCUGACUCAACCACUUUGGAUUCGAGCUGUCACUCAAAAGAGAGCUGACUCGACCACUUUGGACUUAUAAAUAAGUUUGUACUGCCAUCGUUGUCGUCAUCGCUGUGGUCACCAUUGUCAACAGAACACCAGAUGACCCACCACUACUGAAGAUCAAUGACUGAACUACGAACCACGUUGGACCAUGGUGGUGACUAUCUCCCUCCUGCUUCCUAUACGGACUCCUUGCUCCUAUUUCCUAUCUUUUCUAUCGCCCUUCUCCCCUUCCCCAUCUCCCUGAACGACUAGGAUUUGUAAUACACUGGUCAGACCAACAUUUGAACCGUUGUUUGUUAAUCUCAUGCCAGGUAUACACACAUCAAAGAACCUCAUCUCCCUCCGAUAAAUUGGAGAGAGACAAUCAUUUUAUGCUUUUACAGUAUCACAUUAAAAUAAAACAAAAGAAAACUUAUACUGUAUGGAAUGCUGAGGAUAGUCACAAAUAGUCUAUUUGUACUGGCUAGAAAUAAUAAAUACAGUAUUUCU